rnacentral:lncRNA from 1 species
UUACAACGUCACAAGCCUGUGUUGCAACUAAGCCCCUGCACAACCAAAAAACUCUUGGAAAUGUUAAUUACGGUUUUUAGGGAAAUUAGGAGUAUCUAUCCUAGUCAAACUGUAAGGACUUCAAGAAUAUUUUAGGCACUUUAAUAUUCUUCAUUCAGCCUACAUAAAGGCCAUUGUAAUCAGUUUAAACGUACAAUUUUAAGGAGGCUGAUGAUCACUAAACUAAUUGUAAAUACGACAAAGGCAAGCGCUGUAAUGCCCCGUACCC